rnacentral:lncRNA from 1 species
ACCCGCCAGCCCCGCGCUCUACCAGGCAGAGCGCGUGUGGCCGCCGAGCACAUGGACCCACUGGUCAAGCGGGCUCGGCAAGGCCAGGAUGAAGAGAAGCUACGAACUUAGCAUUCCCAGAGCCCCCCGAGUGGAUAUCCGCGUGGAAAGGAUGUUGGCAGCCCCGGUGACCUCGGAGUCACGGCUGGAUCCACCCUCUUGUCUGAUUUUCUUAACUCUACUACGGUAAGAAGAUGCCCUCCAUCAGCAGGCCGUGUCUGCUGGGACCUCUCUGGAGACUUCCUGAACCCUGUGGAUUUACAGUAAGAUGCAGUUUCCUGGGGAGUAAUUCUGGUGGAUACAAAUUCCGGAGUAUUACACCUGGCUUGCCUGGAGAUGUUACAAGUAGCUGGAUGGAUUCUUCAGCCUGGAUGCCCACUGAAAACAAGGACCGAAACUAAGAGGAUUGUAUCUCUACCCUUGACUCAAUGAGAAUGUUUGUUGUCAUCUCUCGGGCUACCUGGAGCUCCCUCUAAAAUGGGCUGGGACACUGCCUGAUUGAGGUGGCCAUUGAGAAUUCAAGUGUACCUCUUGGUCCCUGAUGCAGAAAUGAAGUCCCCAGCAUGCUCAAGAAGAGCUUCCUUGGAGGAUGAGAGGCAUGGGAAUCUAAGUAUACCCUUUAAGCGUUCCAGAAGGAUUUUGAGAUCCUUUCCUAAAUCAAAGGUGGAAUAUUUGGGGAUUUGGAAAAUUGAGAUGUGAAGCGUUGACUUAAGAGAUGCCAAGUAACUCAGCAGAUGUCACACAGACGAUAAAUAGCAAAGAUGGAAGUCUUCAUGCCGGAGGCAAUCCUAUAAGACAGCUGAGUUCUGCAGAGCUGGUAGGAGACAGACUUGCUCAGGUGAUAGAUCCAGCCAUGAUACUGACCCUAAGAGAAUGAGACGCUCUGCAGAAGACAGAAGAUUCCUGAAACUGGGAAAGGUGCCUAGAAAUCCUGAUAAGAGUGAAGAAGGAGCUGGCAGAGCAGCCUUCCUCCGCACUAUGAAAGACAUCCAACAGAGAGCAAGUUCCCACCUCACUUCCAGCUUGACUCCUUUUUAUCUCCUAACUGUGGUCUGUGAUGUCUUCAGCAAUGGUAUUAACUAGUUCUGGGUACCUGGAGGCACAGCAGCCAUGUUGAACCUAUGAGGUGAUGAAAAACCAUGCAACUAGAAACCAGAAUGGAAGAAAAGAAGAAGCUGGAUCCUUGACUGAAUUGUCGAUGGGGGAUAGUCCAUCAUCCCAGGGCUAAGACCACCUCCAGAUUUCUUGUUUGGUGAAACAAGUCCUGAUUGUUUACAUUCCCUCGUGUUGAGCUGUCUCUUGCUUGUAGCUGAAAGCAUUUCUAAUAGAUAUUCAGAUUAUCAGCCUUAGCUCCAAGCUAGAAUACUCUAUGGGACCUUAGCUUCUCCAUGAAUUCCUUUGCUCAUCUGUGUAAUGCUCAAUAAAUGUAAAUUGAACCCUGAAUGAGGGACAAUGACAC